ACUCCUACGGGAGGCAGCAGUAGGGAAUCUUCCACAAUGGGCGCAAGCCUGAUGGAGCAACACCGCGUGAGUGAAGAAGGGUUUCGGCUCGUAAAGCUCUGUUGUUAAAGAAGAACACGUAUGAGAGUAACUGUUCAUACGUUGACGGUAUUUAACCAGAAAGUCACGGCUAACUACGUGCCAGCAGCCGCGGUAAUACGUAGGUGGCAAGCGUUAUCCGGAUUUAUUGGGCGUAAAGAGAGUGCAGGCGGUUUUCUAAGUCUGAUGUGAAAGCCUUCGGCUUAACCGGAGAAGUGCAUCGGAAACUGGAUAACUUGAGUGCAGAAGAGGGUAGUGGAACUCCAUGUGUAGCGGUGGAAUGCGUAGAUAUAUGGAAGAACACCAGUGGCGAAGGUGGCUACCUGGUCUGCAACUGACGCUGAGACUCGAAAGCAUGGGUAGCUAACAGGAUUAGAUACCCCUGGUAGGAUAGCG
rnacentral:rRNA from 1 species